rnacentral:rRNA from 1 species
AGGACGAACGCUGGCGGCGCGCUUAACACAUGCAAGUCGAGCGAGAACCGAAGCCUUCGGGCAUCGGGGAAAGCGGCGAACGGGUGAGUAACACGUGGGCAACCCACCCUUGGUACCGGGAUAGCCCGGGGAAACCCGGAUUAAUACCGGAUGGCCCAGCAGCCUUUCGGGGCGGCUGGAAAAGGGAGCUUCGGCCUCCGACCAAGGACGGGCCCGCGGCGGAUUAGCUUGUUGGUGGGGUAACGGCCUACCAAGGCGACGAUCCGUAGCUGGUCUGAGAGGACGAUCAGCCACACUGGGACUGAGACACGGCCCAGACUCCUACGGGAGGCAGCAGUGGGGAAUAUUGGACAAUGGGCGAAAGCCUGAUCCAGCAAUGCCGCGUGUGUGAAGAAGGUCUUCGGAUUGUAAAGCACUUUCGGACGGGACGAUGAUGACGGUACCGUAGAAGAGCCCGGCUAACUUCGUGCCAGCAGCCGC